ensembl:lncRNA TMEM51-AS1 TMEM51 antisense RNA 1
GGGCCCGAGGCGAGGGAUCGCAGCUGAGCGAGGCGGGCACCCACUCCCCAGCGUAUGCCGCUGGAGCGCGCUGAGCGUGUGCCGGGGGCUGGGCCUAAGUUCUCCCCAACCCUUGCCAGCCGAGUUGGAUAAGAGGGGGUCGGGAGAAAAUAGAGCCCUGAUCCCCCCUCCUCCCUAGGGCCCAGAGAAUCGGUGUGCAUGCGUGUGUGCGCGCACGCGCGUGUGUGUGACGGGUGGUGGUCGGGGAAUGUCUCAAGCUAGAAGUCCCAGGUUUUAGGGGUUUAAGUGGAGCUGGGAGACCCGCUUUCCUCCCACACCAGGCGCAGACGCCGAGGCACAGCUCCGCCAGCCGCCCCGCCUUUACCUGGCGGGAUACUCACCUCUCCUCCUUCCUGGGGAGGCCACCGCCUCCCUCUCCCCCUUCUGCCCUGGGCUGGUUCCCAGCGAGGUGAGUGACCGGCACAAGUAGGGAAGGAGGAAGCGAGUUUUUAAAAACUGAGUCAGCUCACGCCCUCGGCCAGGGUCCCCACCCGAUGCGUGGUCCCCAGGGCGCCCUCGGGAUCGCACGCCCGAGUCCCGGCCCAGGUGGGGCCCAUUCCGGGUUCUUGCGCGCGGGCAAUGGAUGGGGGCGCGCUGCACCGGGAGCCUGCCCUGCUGAGGGCUCAUCCCCAGCUUUGCCGAGAACUUUCCCGGCGAGGCACCGGCUGGCGUUUUCCCAGCCUGCGAGUGGCAGGCGGGCAGCCAGUCUCUGCUCGGAUCCACGGAGGCCCGGAGCCGCCACGGAGUUCUGGCUCCGGGGAGUGCAAACCCGAAGUCGGCGCGGAAGCCUCUCACCCGCGGCUCUGCCUCCGCCCCUUGGAGAUCUGCCCUCGGAACUGCGUUGCUCUGGCGCCCGAACUAGGGUGGGCUGGUUUCAGCCAGACCGCCAAAAAACGUGGAUGCUAAACACAGAGGGAAGAGCCAGCUCCCAUUCCCUCUCUGAGCCUUAGAUUUUUUUGAAUUCCGAGAGAGGUCAGGCCGGGGUCCCCUUCUUGGGUGAGCGUCCAGCCCUUUGAAGUUCAAACACUGAGAAGCCGAUAGGCAGCUGGCUGGCGUCACAGGAUCGAGCCGAGGACUGAAGGCGCCUCCUACCGGGAAUCCACCGCCUCCAGACGAAAAUAGGCUGCAAUCAAGUUCACUUCCAAAGGCGGAAUUCAUGGGUACAUAUGGUGUCCACGUGUGUACACCUGCAGAGUUGUAACAUGCGGGCAUUUCUCCCCUCAGCCCGCCAUUCUGGCUUCUUAACUUGCACCCUAACAGCUCGACAGAACCUUGGCGUCCACAAAAAGGACUUGAGGUGGGACAUGGAAGAACAGGGACCCCUCCUGGUUUGUCCACCCAGCCCACACCUCCAUUCCUCACCCAACCUACCACUUCAGAGCCGGGAAAAGACCUCAGAGAACAUCCGCUCCGACUCUACCGAGGCUCAGACAGGACAACAAGAGUGUGCUGGACACUGGGAAAUGUGGUCCAGGAGCAGUCACAGUCCCUAUAGACCUCCCACAAAUUACCGUAAUGCAAAGGUGAGAAUGUGGAAUGUCUCAGAGGAGACCCAGAUUAUAGCCUCUGGAAUUCAGCGGAGAUCUCUCGUGGUCCAGAGAGAUGUUGCAGAGAUGGGGUGGGACUGCGUAAGACUCCUCAAGGGCGAUUAGUCAAACACUGAGAUGAACUGAUCCAUCUGCGCUCUGCUGAGGAGCCCUUCUGGGAUGUAAGUCCUCAUCCGAGAGGCAGCUGGAGGGGAUGGGGCCCGGCAGAAUAGGGUUAAUGCAGCCAAAGUUCAAAUUCUGGCUCUAUUAGCAGUGAACACUUGGGAGAGCUCCUUCACUCACCGACUCUCAUCAGGAAAAUAGUGAUAGCAUGAACCCCUCCAGAUGGUUUUAGGAUUAAAAGAGAUACUUGUGCAAAGCCUCAGCAUACGGUAAGUGGUUGGAACAAACAUAUGCAUAGAAUCUUAGCUGCCAAUUAUUAGGAGGACUCAGCCCUCUCCUCCUGGGGGGUGCACUGUGAGGCUUAGAAAGACUAAGGGAGACCCAGCCCCUCACCUCCAUCCCACACGAGGCUCUACCCUUCCUUGGGGGCCGGGUCUUCCUUUCUUGACUCCCCUCAAUGCCAGGGCUGCCUGGGGUGCCGGAGAUCAACCACAGAAAGAAGCCCUGCUUGGUUCAAGUGAAUUGAGGGGAGCUGGGCAUUUCCCACCGGUUUGAUGAAGCUCCUCUCCAGCUUCAUUCCCUGCCACUGGGAAUCAGCGGCACAACUUGCAACCAACAUGGCUGAAAACAGGCAUCUUGGGCAGAUUCUACCUGACACCUUAGUUGGCAGCCAAUCAGUUGUGCCCUGGCUACCCUAGUGCCACCUCAUGGGUCCCUUGCAUUGGGCUGUAGCCUGAUAAAUCUGAUUUAGCCAUGAGCCAGAGCAAAGGGAAAGAGCGAACCAUUUGCAGAAGGCGGGGCCUCAUGUCCAGGUGUAGCACUUAGGAAGCACUAAUUGCAUCUGGGAUGACACAGAUGUACGGGAGCCAGGUCGAGGGUCCUGGGAGGGGGCAGAGGCCCAGCAGAGGAUCUGCCUGGUGCCCCUUCUUUACCCUCAGGAGAUGGUACCCUCACCCCCAGCACUCCAGCCUCAGGGGGUCCUUUGUAGCCGUGGGGCUCUGCCCCUCCUGCCACAGGACCUUUGCACACUGUUCAUCCUGUCUAGAAUCCUCUCCACCUGCUGAACUCCCCUCCACCCAGGCCUCACCUUCUCUUUUCUACAUUAAAUCCCCCAUGUGAAAAGAUAUGAAAAGCCCUCUGACUACCAGCUACCUCUGCUGUCAAGACUUACUACAGUUGGCUGGGUGUGGUGGCUCACACCUGUAACCCCAGCACUCUGGGAGGCCAAUGUUGAGGGGGAUUGCUUGAGCUCAGGAGUUCAAGAUCAGCCUGGCAACAUAGUGAAAGCUCUACAAAAAAAAAAUUAAUCAGGUGUGGUGACAUGACCGUAGUCCCAGCCACUCGGGAGGCUGAGGUGGGAGGAUUGCUCGAGCCCAGCAGAUUGAGGCUGCAGUGAGCUAUGAUCCUGCCACUGCACUCCAGCUUGGGUGACAGAGCA